rnacentral:rRNA from 1 species
AUUGAACGCUGGCGGCAUGCUUUACACAUGCAAGUCGAACGGUAACAGGUCUUUCGGGAUGCUGACGAGUGGCGAACGGGUGAGUAAUGUAUCGGAACGUGCCCAGUAGUGGGGGAUAACUACUCGAAAGAGUGGCUAAUACCGCAUGAGAUCUCUGGAUGAAAGCGGGGGACCGUAAGGCCUCGCGCUACUGGAGCGGCCGAUAUCAGAUUAGGUAGUUGGUAGGGUAAGAGCCUACCAAGCCAACGAUCUGUAGCUGGUCUGAGAGGACGACCAGCCACACUGGGACUGAGACACGGCCCAGACUCCUACGGGAGGCAGCAGUGGGGAAUUUUGGACAAUGGGCGCAAGCCUGAUCCAGCAAUGCCGCGUGCAGGACGAAGGCCUUCGGGUUGUAAACUGCUUUUGUACGGAACGAAAAGCUUCUGGUUAAUACCUGGGAGUCAUGACGGUACCGUAAGAAUAAGCACCGGCUAACUACGUGCCAGCAGCCGAC